CUACGGGUGGCUGCAGUGAGGAAUAUUGGUCAAUGGGCGCAAGCCUGAACCAGCCAUGCCGCGUGAAGGAUGACGGCCCUAUGGGUUGUAAACUUCUUUUAUACGGGAAGAAACGCCUCUACGUGUAGAGGUUUGACGGUACCGUACGAAUAAGCAUCGGCUAACUCCGUGCCAGCAGCCGCGGUAAUACGGAGGAUGCAAGCGUUAUCCGGAUUUAUUGGGUUUAAAGGGUACGUAGGCGGAAGAUUAAGUCAGUAGUGAAAUCCUGCAGCUUAACUGUAGAACUGUUAUUGAUACUGGUUUUCUUGAAUGUAGUCGAGGUAGGCGGAAUAAGUAAUGUAGCGGUGAAAUGCUUAGAUAUUACUUAGAACACCGAUUGCGAAGGCAGCUUACUAAGCUAUGAUUGACGCUGAGGUACGAAAGCGUGGGGAGCGAACAGGAUUAGAUACCCGCGUAGUC
rnacentral:rRNA from 1 species